AUGGUUCUUUGGUGCAGCACCACCCCAUGGGACACUUGGCUGCUGUCCUGAAGGGGUUGGUCGCUAGAAUUGUGAAUCCUGGAGAGUUUGUGAGUCUUCUGUCCCCAGGGAGGGAAAGACUCUCGUAUCCUUGUCGUCGGGCUCGGUGCUGUCCAAGAAGAUACAGAGACUAAAAAAAUCAUAAGAAGCAAAAUAUGACUGCAGGGAAAAGAAGCUGGAGAGAACAGAAGGUGAUAUUGUUAUCCUUACCCUGUAUUAGAGACAUCCGCUGUGCUUUGAUGCUGGCAGCUGCCAGGGGCUUGUUAGCUCUUUGUAGGCAGGUGUAGGUGUUCACUUGUAGUUUUUUUCUCUAGACAAGUCAAUUCAAACUUUGCUAAGCUUAUAUUUGCAGAUUACUCUGUAGCACAGUCCAGCAUGACAUUUUUGAAUGUUGUAAAAAUACCAUGUUACUUGGAAAUUGCUAAUGAAGAGAAGCUUUAGGGGAAAAUAAGAUUUCAGGGUUGGAAGUUGUGAGAAGAAUUUUGUGGGGAUGUUAGACUGAAGUAAAGCACACUUGAAGCUGGACUGGCACGCUGGCAGGUCCCCUAUUAAACAGUAGUGCUGAGAUUAGCCUGGGGGUUGCCCAUUGUUUCUGUAGAAAUCAAUGUUUCCUGGUCUUCAGAGGGAAGCUGCUUUGAAAAGCUGGAAGGUGCAGCAUGCUGACAAUCCCCGUGCUUUGGAUUAAAAGUAGAUUUCAGAAGGGUCCUAAGCUUUUGUCUUUUCCUAGAAGUCAAUGUAAUCCUGUCGAGGAGUUUUUAAUUCUGUGUUGCCAUGUCAUCCAUCAGAGCCCUGUUGUACUAAUCAUCAUACAAGUACAAAACAAAAAAUCAGACCCUGUCCCAAGCACUUAGAGCCCAGAACACGAUUUCCUCGGGCUGCCAUUUGCGUGCCAUCGGUACUCACCACGAAUUGAGCCCUCUGGCUCUGACAGAGCCCCUGGAUGCUGACGGAAGGGGGCUGACCCUGGAGGUGCCUGUCCCCCAGGGAGGGAGAGGACGAGGCAGUGUGGCCUGCAGGGAGGGUCUCGUCCCCAGAGAGCAGCCGGCGACUCCAUGCCUGCCCGGGGCUGCGGGUGCCCCCUCGGGGUGGACGCCUGCCCUCAGGUUUCCCUCUGGGCACCCGGGGAGGGAACCAGGUCCAUCCGUGUGGCAGCUGCAGGGCCUGCAGGCUCUGGGCCCUGGAGCCGAGUGAGCCUGAGCUGCUGCAUGCUUGCUGUGAGCGUUGGGGUGAGCGUGCAUCACUGCAGGCCUGGGAUGGAUUGAAAUGCGCUGAGGAAAGCAGAGGGA